rnacentral:rRNA from 1 species
GAUGAACGCUGGCGGCGUGCCUAAUACAUGCAAGUCGAGCGAACGGACGAGAAGCUUGCUUUUCUGAUGUUAGCGGAGGACGGGUGAGUAACACGUGGAUAACCUACCUAUAAGACUGGGAUAACUUCGGGACACCGGAGCUUAUACCGGAUGAUCUUUUGAACCGCAUGGUUCAAAAGUGAAAGACGGUCUUGCUGUCACUUGUGGCUGGAUCCGCGCUGCAUUAGCUUGUUGGUAGGGUAACGGCCUACCAAGGCUACGAUGCGUAGCCGACCUGAGAGGGUGAGCGGCCACAUUGGGACUGAGAUACGGCCCAGACUCCUACGGGAGGCAGAAGUGGGGAAUAUUGCACAAUGGGCGGAAGCCUGAUGCAGCAACGCCGCGUGCGGGAUGACGGCCUUCGGGUGGUAAACCGAUUUCGCCUGUGACGAAGCGUGAGUGACGGUAAUGGGUAAAGAAGCACCGGCUAACUACGUG